CACUGAUUUGGAUAGUAAAAGUGUAGAGCUUUAAAGGAUGUUUCUGUGGCUUGUUAAAAUAAAGGGUUGUGUAUUACAUGUUAUAAAAAUUAACCCACGUCAAGGGCAAUCAGAAAAAAGAAUAUAAUGAUAAUACUAGUAGCAUGCCUGUAAUGCACUAUUUUCCAUGUAAAACAUGUUCCAAGCACAAGAUAUAGAAUUAUAUACAACAGACACUAAGAGAUAAUGAAAGACUAGCGAUACAUGGAACACAAUUCAAUGGAUUAUUGUUUGGACUCAUAGGCUAAUCUGAAGAAGUGAGUCUUUAGUACGGAUCUAAAAGUAGAAAGUUCUGUACAGUCACGUAUAUAUUGAGGUAGUUGAUUCCAGGUUGGAGAGGCAGCAUAC